rnacentral:rRNA from 1 species
UACGGAGGGUGCAAGCGUUAUCCGGAUUUAUUGGGUUUAAAGGGUGCGCAGGCGGACCUGCCAGUCAGUGGUGAAAUCCCGAGGCUCAACUUCGGAACUGCCAUUGAUACUACAGGUCUUGAAUACGGUUGAGGUAGGCGGAAUGUAGCAUGUAGCGGUGAAAUGCAUAGAUAUGCUACAGAACACCGAUCGCGAAGGCAGCUUACCAAGCCGAUAUUGACGCUCAGGCACGAAAGCGUGGGGAGCGAACAGGAUUAGAUACCCCUGUA